UAAUACGUAGGGGGCAAGCGUUGUCCGGAUUUAUUGGGCGUAAAGAGCGUGUAGGCGGCCAGGUAGGUCUGCUGUGAAAACUCGAGGCUUAACCUCGAGCUGUCGGCGGAAACCAUCUGGCUAGAGUCCGGAAGAGGAGAAUGGAAUUCCCGGUGUAGCGGUGAAAUGCGCAGAUAUCGGGAAGAACACCCGUGGCGAAGGCGGUUCUCUGGGACGGUACUGACGCUGAGACGCGAAAGCGUGGGGAGCGAACAGGAUUAGAUACCCUGGUAGUCCACGCCGUAAACGAUGAGUGCUAGGUGUGGGGGGUGUCGACUCCCUCCGUGCCGCAGCUAACGCAUUAAGCACUCCGCCUGGGGAGUACGGCCGCAAGGCUAAAACUCAAAGGAAUUGACGGGGGCCCGCACAAGCAGCCGGAGCAUGUGGUUUAAUUCGACGCGACGCGAAGAACUUACCUAGGCUUGACAUGCACGGGAAUGUCGUANAAAUACGGCAGCCCUUCCGGGCUCGUGCACAGGUGGUGCAUGG
rnacentral:rRNA from 1 species